rnacentral:rRNA from 1 species
UACAGAGGUCUCAAGCGUUGUUCGGAUUCAUUGGGCGUAAAGGGUGCGUAGGCGGCGCGGUAAGUCGGGUGUGAAAUCUCGGGGCUUAACUCCGAAACUGCAUUCGAUACUGCCGUGCUUGAGGACUGGAGAGGAGACUGGAAUUUACGGUGUAGCGGUGAAAUGCGUAGAUAUCGUGAGGAAGACCCGUGGCGAAGGCGGAUCUCUGGACGGCUAACUGACGCUGAGGCGCGAAGGCCAGGGGAGCAAACGGG